GCAGUCGAACGGUAGCACAGAGAGCUUGCUCUCGGGUGACGAGUGGCGGACGGGUGAGUAAUGUCUGGGAAACUGCCUGAUGGAGGGGGAUAACUACUGGAAACGGUAGCUAAUACCGCAUAACGUCGCAAGACCAAAGAGGGGGACCUUCGGGCCUCUUGCCAUCAGAUGUGCCCAGAUGGGAUUAGCUAGUAGGUGGGGUAACGGCUCACCUAGGCGACGAUCCCUAGCUGGUCUGAGAGGAUGACCAGCCACACUGGAACUGAGACACGGUCCAGACUCCUACGGGAGGCAGCAGUGGGGAAUAUUGCACAAUGGGCGCAAGCCUGAUGCAGCCAUGCCGCGUGUAUGAAGAAGGCCUUCGGGUUGUAAAGUACUUUCAGCGGGGAGGAAGGUGUUGUGGUUAAUAACCGCAGCAAUUGACGUUACCCGCAGAAGAAGCACCGGCUAACUCCGUGCCAGC
rnacentral:rRNA from 1 species